rnacentral:rRNA from 1 species
UACAGAGGGGGCAAGCGUUGUUCGGAAUUACUGGGCGUAAAGGGCGCGUAGGCGGCCUGUUAAGUCGAACGUGAAAUCCCCGGGCUCAACCCGGGAACUGCGUCCGAUACUGGCAGGCUUGAAUCCGGGAGAGGAAUGCGGAAUUCCAGGUGUAGCGGUGAAAUGCGUAGAUAUCUGGAGGAACACCGGUGGCGAAGGCGGCAUUCUGGACCGACAUUGACGCUGAGGAGCGAAAGCCAGGGGAGCAAACGGG